CUACGGGACGCUCCAGUGAGGAAUAUUGCACAAUGGGGGGAACCCUGAUGCAGCAACGCCGCGUGGAGGAUGACGCAUUUCGGUGUGUAAACUCCUUUUAUAUGUCAAGAAAAUGACGGUAGCAUAUGAAUAAGCACCGGCUAACUCCGUGCCAGCAGCCGCGGUAAUACGGAGGGUGCAAGCGUUACUCGGAAUCACUGGGCGUAAAGGACGCGUAGGCGGGUUGGAAAGUCAGGUGUGAAAUCCUACAGCUUAACUGUAGAACUGCACUUGAAACUUCUAAUCUAGAGUAUGGGAGGGGGAGAUGGAAUUAGUGGUGUAAGGGUAAUAUCCGUAGAUAUCACUAGGAAUACCUAAAGCGAAGGCGAUCUCCUGGAACAUUACUGACGCUAAGGCGUGAAAGCGUGGGGAGCAAACAGGAUUAGAUACCCGGGUAGUC
rnacentral:rRNA from 1 species